rnacentral:rRNA from 1 species
AAUGAACGCUGGCGGCGUGGUUAAGAAAUGCAAGUCGAACGGUUUUUCGGUGGUAGCAAUACAACUGAAAAGCAGUGGCGAACGGGUGCGUAAGACGUGCACAAUUUAGCUUCAAAUGGGGAAGAGCUCGGCGAAAGCCGGAUUAAUACCGCAUGUGGUUGGCAGCUUAGUGGUUGACAUACUAAAGUCGGGGACAGAAAGGCCUGCCGUCUGAAGAGAAGUUCGCGGCCUAUCAGCUAGCUGGCGGGGUAACGGCCCACCAAGGCUAAGACGGGUAGCAGGUCUGAGAGGAUGAUCAGCCACACUGGAACUGAGAAACGGUCCAGACACCUACGGGUGGCAGCAGUUUCGAAUCAUUCACAAUGGGCGAAAGCCUGAUGGUGCGACGCCGCGUGAGGGAUUAAGGUCUUCGGAUUGUAAACCUCUUUCACCGGGGAAGAAACGCUUCAAUUUAACAGAUUGAAGCCUGACUUAACCCGGAGAGGAAGCAGUGGCUAACUCUGUGCCAGCAGCCGCCGCCG